GCUAUAGUGACUAUUGUUUUCAAUUUAAUUCGGUCAGUAAGAAGGGGAAUACUAAAGUUUUACAGCGCAACCCGAAAGACAUGACUACAUAAGUCAUAUUUUUUACAUAGUGUAUAAAACACAUUAAUAGCAACGCGAUAAAAUGGAUGUACACAACAAAACAGGUUGUCUAUUAAUUCUACUCAGUGGAAUUCUAUCAGUUACUAGAGGAUCCAUUUGUGCAACUAAUAGAGAUUCACGGGCCCUUUUACAAGGUGACAACUCUAAUGUAGUCAACAACUUUUUGCAGCUACUUCGUCAAACAAAUACAUUUAAUUUCCAAGGUGACAACAUCAACCACGCAAAUGGUUGUCGGAAGGAAAUGCAAAGAUUUGUUCACAGAAAAGGACAUUUCGACAAAGCAACCGAUAAAACGUGGAUUCUUGAUUGCUGAGAACCUGUAGAAUGUGUUUUAGUUGAUGGAGAACUGCAUGGAAUGUAUACAAUACAAGUAGUUCCACAAUCAACAUGGCGACAUCUGGUAAACAUUUUACGCGGCACGCAUGCUACAGCUGUUCUGCUUCCUAUAGAUGAACGCAACUCCAUAUCAUAUACGUUUUUGCCAUUUGUACAACAGAGAAGCUCUCUAUUUGUUACAGCCUUGCUUUCUGGGUGCAGUGUUUUUGUUGCAACCGCUGGUAAUGAGAAUUGUAAUAUAAUCGUUAUGCAUGCUAACCGGUUUUGUAGCCGCAAUGAGCCCGAAGAUGACGACGAUAAUCAUAAGCAGGCUAUGUUUGUUCUGGAAAAUGUAAAUUCAUUAAACGAACAAUGCAGCUAUCAGAUCCAACGCAGAUGGUCAAGUGACCAUAAACGCAAUAACAUUGAGCGUCAUGACUACCAUUACCCAGUUGAGUAUUAUAAAUGGAAAAAUUAUAAUUUUAUUUAUGGUUACAAUUUAGGUGGCCAACACCGUAGGUGGCAUUUAUGUCUAAAGGAACUGGAGCAGAGUCCCCGGCGGGAGAUUUGUUACCAAAUUUACUAAACAUUUGUUACAGAAUAUACGUAACGGGUAAAAAAAAAACGUUUAUAAACAUCUAGAAAAAGGUAUAACACUUGUUUUAACAUUCGAUUAUGCAAUGUACAUUUAUCUGGUAUGACAGUAGUCCAAUACUUUAAAUUACCCAGUAUUACAUGUCAGUGUUUGUUCUUAUCUUGUUUUUGAAAUUAUUGAUUCAAACAUGUUAGUGUGGCAGAUACCGCUUGAGCCGAUACUAGGGCCUAAGAGAUCAUUUGACGCCUAAAACAAUCCUACACGGAACUACUUUGGUCGAUUUUUUAAAAAAGAUAUAACUUAAAUGAAUUACAAGACAAAAACAUAAACAAACCUUACGAUUAGCCUUUUAAAUCGGCCUUCUGCCCUAUCUCGGAAAUGGCGUUCGCUCGUCGUUUGACCGUACACCACAAUUUUGAAGUGGAGUGACAGUUUGCCGGGCGUGGUUAAAUAAAGUAUUAAGGUAGAAUACACCUAAUGGGCACACAAGACUGUACAAUUUUCAACAAAAGACAUGUAUUUGCCUUAAAGGACACAUGCAUGUAAACUUUAAACAAAAUUUAUCGUAUGGCUUAUGAGUUAUAGACAUUUUUCUGAACUAAAACUUUGCUAUUUGAAGGGCGCUUUUUCAAAAAUGAGGAAACUCAUGAAAAAUACCAUCAUUAUGAAAAAUGUUUUACUAUUGAUCAUUGUUUGGAAACAAAUAAUAGCAUUCAGGUGACAAAUCACACAUGCAAAAUUUGCUAUUAAAUCAUGCAUUAUUUAGCAAAGAAAUACCCUAAAUAUUAAUAUACAAGUAAAAUUAAACACUUUUUACUUUCCAUAAGAGAUCUGAGAUCUGAGAGAUAUGUAAAAAUGGUAAAAAGAAAGUUGCCCCUUCUGUGGUUGAAUCCACGCCCCUCAGUUUUAAUGCAUCUAGCCUAUUUGAAUACUCUACAACGCGGGCUUUACUACCUUAAAGCAGCAUGCCUCCAGAUUCAUGCUAAUUUUCAAAAAAAUAAAAAUGUAUUUAAAAGUAAUAUAUUGUGAAGUAAACAAGAAAGUAAUUUACACACUGCAAACGGCACUUAUAAUCCACGUAAAUUACGAAAAAAGAAGUCAACAUAUACAUAAAUAUUUCUUACUGCGUUAGUAACGCAGUAGAAUUAUAGUGAUUGAUACUUCCAAAUCAGUCAUUAAUCGCACAUAUUAUGUAAAUGAUUAGUUAUAUAUUGAAUCUUUUUACUUUGCUUAAGAUCUUAAUACGUUAUCCUAAGAAUGAAUUCCUUUAAAUAGUUUGGCUUAUCUGGAGGCGUGCAGCUUUAAAUACUAUUUUUGUUAUUAUAACGGCUGUAUGAACACAUCUGCAGAUGUUUCAAAAUUCCGAAUUUUACAAUGUUAUGUGCAUUUUUUUACAGCGUUAUGUGCGUUCUUUAGGGAUUCAUUAUUUCUAUAUAUUUUAUGUUCCCUAGGAGAAUCAGCUAGGAGAAUGAGAAGUCGCCGCUUUGUUCGUCCGUCCGUCCGCUUUUCUUGUCCGGGACAUAAUUCUGAAACAACAAAAGGGUAUCGACAUAAAACUUUGUAGGUAGAUAGAUCUCAUUGGGUAGAUGUGCAGUGCACAAGAACUGUAACACUGCCUUGUCUAAUUUUUGAAAAAUUGCCAUUUGUUCAUUUUUACACUUGAACUUUGUUCGGACCUAUAAGAGAUAUCAACAUGAAACUUUGCCCUUUGUUCAUUUUUACACUUUGAACAUUGUUAAGAAAAUAGCCGCAAAAAUAUAAUAGAUAUUAACAAGACACUUAGUAAGCAGAUAGAUCUUGUUAGUGCAGAAGAACCAUAACUCUGCCUUGUCUGAUUUUGGAGUAAUUGCCCUUUAUUCAUUUUUUAACUUUGCACUUUAAAACUUGACUGUAAAACUACAAACAAUAUCAACAAGAAAGUAAGUCGGUAGAUAGAUCUUAUUGAGUAAAAGUACAGCGCAAAGAACAGUUACUAUGCCUUCCUUGUCUUAGUUUGGAAUAAUCAAACUUUGAACUAUGACCUGGAUAACUCUGAAAAUAAAAUUGGUAUGUUUUUCUGUGUCAAAAACCGAUUCGGGGAACAUCACGCCGUUCAACCGGUUCUUGUAUUAUUAUUAAUAUUAUUAUUAUUAUUAUUAUUAUUAUUAUUAUCAAGUGUAAAUGAAGGUUAUAUGUGUCAAAAACUAGGUUAUCUGGUCAAAGUCUUUGGAAAAAAAAUUGGUAAAUGGCAUAGGAGAUGGGAGUAUUUUGAUAUCCUUUUCACCCAAAAUGCAUGCUUGAUAGUGUGACAGUUUUUUUAGUUUAUUAAUUAUGGAGAGUACUUUUACUUUGGAUUAAAAACAGAGUCUUCAUUUUAUCAGUAGUGUAUACAAGUGCUACUAAUUUGUUGUAGAUGUUAAUUGCACUUUCAUGUUACCAUAAACAGAGCUGCAUUACUGGUACUGGUACUGGUACUGCAGUACGUACUGCAGCGAUUUUGCAAGUACUGGUACUGAUACUGAAUUACUCUUACAAAAGUUUGCUACUACUGGUACUGGUACUGCAUUACUGUCUUAAAAAGUGGUACUGCUACUGCAUUACCCAGUACUUUUG